GCAAGGCCAAUCGCCGCCCCAAACAUCGUCGGCGCAGUCCAAUCAGAGGUCAAACUGGUUGAGAGCGGCGGGCGGGCCUUCAACAAGUUAAGACCUUUUGUCACUUAAUACCAAACGUGGAGAGUAACCAAAUAACCUAAGCUGCUGUAGGCUCAGAGGACAUCCUCCCAGGAACAGAGAUGCGAGAAGCCAGACGCACAGGCCUAAUUUCCUGUCAGAAGCACUAUCUCAAGGACUACAAGAAUGAAAAAUAAAGAACAAGCCUUUCCAAAUCUUUCUUCAAAUGGUCAUCAGAAGACAUAGCGAGAACUACAGACUUCAGUUCUGCAAAGCUAUUGCAGCCUCACAUGACAAGGACCCUCACUGCCUGCCCUCUGAUAUAACACAGUCAUAUCCACCUACGGAGCACGCAGAAGCUGAACAAUUUGUAAGCUGGUCCUACCAUUUAGAGAGUCAACUGGCCUUAACUAACAAAUUAUUGAUGACUGUGUAAUUCUCCAUCGGAUUAAUAUGUUCCAGUUAAUUAUCUUAACUACAAAGAAUUAAUGAAUGGUAUUUACACCGUGAACUUUGCUGACUCCAGAGCCUCAUCUUUCAUCAUGUAUUUGCCAAACGGAUUAAAAAGCCCCCUGGCACCGAGCAUCUCAUGCCAGUACCGGUGCUUGCAGAUUGCUCCAAGCAGCUCCUUGUCUUCUCCAUGCCAAACUGAAAAGCUGAAUCUAUUUCCUUCUCAACACAAGGGCAACUACAGUUUGCCCCAAGUUCUGCCCAGCUGGGUGGCAAUCUUGAGAUCUCUCACUAGAGCUAGACAGUAUAUUCUCCGACAGUGAUCUCAAGAAUGACAGAAGAGACCACACUCUCCAUUUUCUUACACUUCAUCUAUUUCAACUUAUGGAGGCAUACUAAAAUCAGCAUUAACGAGACAUAUUGCUGAAGUUUCUAGCUAUAAACCAAUGUACUCUGCUGAAAUAGUCCACAGUAUCCCUCCACCAUGACUCUUACCGCCACCAGCCCUUUAUUUCACAAUCUUUUCCACCUCUAUUUUAUCUUGCUCUCAAAAUUCCUUUCUUCACAUACCAUCACUUGUACAAGUUCCUUUGAGAAUUAUAUUCCAACAUAAAGUACUGAGCUAGUAAGGGAGGAUCUGUUCACACCACAGGAGUACUGCACUGUAAACAAGCAUGCUAUCAAAUGUUUUUAGACAGUGAAGUAACUGUAAUGCUUGUUCUACAAGCAGCUUAGUGCAGCUGUUCAACCUAGUACAGCCAGCCUUCUUCAGGCAUUCAAAUGGCAACAUGUCAUUUCCUCAUCCCAGCCAGCAGUGCUGCUACUUUUCUCUCACCAAGGGCAGGAAUAAGACCACAGCACAUGGGGUUCCCAGGUAAAUUUGUGUCCAAGUGCCGUGCUUGAAUAAAGCACUUCAGUAAUACUAGAAGACCUCUUUUUCUACAUCAAGUGGAAACCAAAGGGAGCAGGUCUCACCUGCCCAGUUAGAUCAGACUAGCUGCAGAGUAGAAGGUCAACAAGGAAAGAGAAAAACCUCACAUUUAGUCCCCUGAAAGCUUAGACUUCCUGUCCAAAAUGACUUAACAGUACACUAACCUUGGUGAUACCUUUUUAUUUUUAAUCAGUAGAUUCAAGCUAGAGUAGAUCAGUAACACUAGCCUUUUAGUAGUAGACCAUUUAUGAUGAGCUUAUGAUGGACUUGUUAGAGCAACACCUUCUUACACUUCAGCAAAAAUCUCCAAAAUAUUAUCAGGUAUUAUGUGCUUCCUAAUAUUUUUAGUCUUUGAUGAAGUGAAAAGUCAGGCAUUAGAAGACAGUGGAUUGAACAUUUCCAAUAAAUAUGGACGACAUGGCUGAGGGGACAUGGCCAGAAGACUGGCCUUCAUCAGGAGGGUGUUCCAGACAGAAAAAACAGAGAAGCAGAGUAUAUAAGGUUGUUUAUAGGUACUGAAUCAAGACACCACUUCUCAGCCUACAAGACCAGAGAAACAAUUCCAGUAGUGCACAGCUGAAAGGUGCUGUUGACUAAUUUCCCAAAGCCCCUGGGCUCCCCAGCUCUCUCUCACCGCCACUUGCUACAUUCAUUGCGGUCUCCUACAUCUCCUUCUGUCCACCUCCUGUGCAGUGCCACUAGCUCUUUCUUCCUAGGGUGAGAAUUACAGCAAGGCCAGCAAAAUAUCCUGGAGGGCAGUAUGAAAGAAAAUUAAGAACCACUACAACAUAUUGAUUUUGUUUCCUAAGUACAUUUGUUUAAAUAUUACAUAUUCAAACCAUAAAUUUCUUUAAUGUAUAGCACGAGCUGAUUAAAUCAGCGCCACAUCUAUUACACUCAAAAGCAUUUCAGAGGCAAACUAAAUGAGCCCAUGGGAGGGGAGACCUUCACCAUGGGAGUUCACUUUGCCUGAGGACAGCACAGCCAAAGUGCCACUGGAGCCUCAAGUAGAAACAAGGGAAAGCUGGCACUACUGCUGGAAGAAGCACUCUUGUUAUCCCUGAGCCACUCUUUUCCACCCUCUUGCUGGCACAAAGGCGGUAAACCAACCCCAAUUAAAACUUAGCCAAAAAAAAGGAAAGUUUAGUUUUAACCCACAUCAGUCCCUUGAUUGGGUUUACCAUGCAAAGUCUUCUGUCAACAAAGAGCGGAAAAAAAGCUGUCAGAGGCAGAACUGCUUCUUGAGCAGAAGUGCCAGCUUACCCCACAUUAAACUGCUUCUGCAAGAACUGUACAAGAGAAGCACAGGGAACAUUUGGUGUCUAGAUGAUUUCAAGCUCUCAUAUGGAACAGUGUGCACUUUGAACCUAAGGACUUAAAACCACCCCAGCCUCAAAAAAUCCAAGCAAAGUGCCUUGAAGAAAGUACAGAAGAUGUUCACUCCUUUCUUUCCACUGGAGUAAA